rnacentral:lncRNA from 12 species
AAAAAAUAUCAGUAAGGAUUUAAUAAAAAAGAAGAUUAAAAAAGUAUUUUCUGACACAAGUUGUUUUAAGAGAAUGUGGAGAAACGGGGUUCAGGCCGAGGAAAAGCAACCUUUCAUUACUCCACAAAUUUGAAAAGUUUCCUGAGUAUAAUGCAUUGAGCCUUCCUUGAAGCUUCAUUAAAAUUAUAUCUAAAGAACCGAUUAUAAGAAAAUGAUUAAUAAUACAAUAACACGGAGCAACUGUUCUGCAGAGUUGUUUGGAGUUGUGGGCUUUUCCAUCAGCACUCUGUUUUGUUCUCUGCUUCCAUCCAUGCAGGGAAGCAAAUGCCCGUCACCAAUUUUUUUUUUUUCCUUCUCAUCAAGCAAUAAGAACCAUCAUUUGGUAAAAACAAAGGAGGGGGCAUAAUGAAUUGUAGAGGCUAUAAACACUCCAAGAGAGCUGACCCUUGCUGUUUGGGUAUCUUCUGCUCCCCUUUUGCACAAGGCAGUGUCAGCCAGCUGGUGACUCCAGGUGCACCUGGUGGGAGAGAGGACUCCAGACCACUCCUAUGGUUGGAUUACAGAGGAGCUCAGACCCUUCCUGACCUAGAUCUUUACGUUUCUGUGCUAGCAGUUCAUUCUUUAUCAGUAAUGAUCUUUCUGGAGCCAUUUGAUUUGUCUGUGCAGUGACACAUGACAUUUGGAUAAACCACGAUUUAUUUCCUCACUGGCUCCACGCAUGGAGUUUCGUGACAUGUUUCACAGGAGAUCACCUGUGAUGAGGACAAAGGUCAGUGGAAAGCUGUUCAAACGGAGAAGUUUGGCCUCAAGAAGCCCAUCUGAACCUCAACUCUCGACCUGUUCAUUGACCGUGUUUGCUAAUUGGGUCUUCAGUGCAAAACAAGAAACAACGUUCAGCAUUGCUAACUGUUUGUUUAGCCAGAACAUGAAAAUCAAUCUACUGAUGACCAAAAGGGCAUAGCAAACAACAUCCCUGUGGAGUUGGGUGUUUUUGGCCUUGGCAUUCAACAGAUGUGGUCUGAGAGCUCCUACAACCUGUGUGCAGAUGCAGUUCACAUAAUUAAUGCUAGAUUGGCUUCUUGCAUGUAGGACUGCAGAGAGUUGGAUAGAAAGGGAGGGAGCCUGAGGUUAGUAGAAAUAAGUUGACCUCAGAAGGUUGUUGGGAUUCAGAAGAAAUGAUGGUGCAUAUUUUGAUCAUUCUUUUCUUUAAUCACUUCUCAGUGAUUUUUGCAGCUUGUGAAGGGAAAUAAACAAACACAAAACAAAAUAUCUCCA